UACGUAGGGCGCAAGCGUUGUCCGGAAUUAUUGGGCGUAAAGAGCUCGUAGGCGGUUUGUCGCGUCUGCUGUGAAAACCUAAGGCUCAACCUUGGGCUUGCAGUGGGUACGGGCAGACUAGAGUGCGGUAGGGGUGACUGGAAUUCCUGGUGUAGCGGUGGAAUGCGCAGAUAUCAGGAGGAACACCCGUGGCGAAGGCAGCUCUCUGGGACGAUACUGACGCUCAUACGCGAAAGCGUGGGGAGCAAACAGG
rnacentral:rRNA from 1 species